CAGCCGCCGCGGUAAUACCGGCGGCCCGAGUGGCGGUCACUAUUAUUGGGCUUAAAGCGUCCGUAGCCGGGUUGGGAAGUCCUCCGGGAAAUCUGGCCGCUUAACGGUCAGAAUGCCGGAGGAUACUCCCAGCCUAGGGAGCGGGAGAGGCCGAGGGGAUUCCCGGAGUAGGGGGGAAAUCCUAUAAUCCCGGGGGGACCACCUGUGGCGAAGGCGCCCGGCUGGAACGGGUCCGACGGUGAGGGACGAAGGCCGGGGGAGCAAACCGGAUUAGAUACCCGGGUAGUCCCGGCUGUAAACGCUGCGGGCUAGGUGUCGGGAGUUCCUUGGGAACUCCCGGUGCCGAAGGGAAGCCGGAAGCCCGCCGCCUGGGGAGUACGGCCGCAAGGCUGAAACUUAAAGGAAUUGGCGGG
rnacentral:rRNA from 1 species